AAGUCGGUUAACACCCACUUGAGAAUAAUAAUAUUCAUAGCAGUACUACAUAAUGCGCAGAACAAAUUCCAGAUAGGCUUGCAACCCGACCUCCCGUCAGGGACGGUCGGGCUCCGCCCAACUAGAUGGAGACGGCUGGUGAGGAAAAGCAUUCACUUGUCCUUCCCUCUAGGAGCUUCAACAAGGGUGGAUACUGCUCCAAAGUACCAGCAGCAAUGGAUCACGAGGCAAAGAGCAUCGCAGCGAGUACAAUGAUGGAGAGCACGAGAGGGGCGGAGUCAGUGACAAGUUGCUAUGACAACAUAUGAUGGAAAAGUUACAAGGUGACACUGUGGAGUUUGCGUACGACCCAUUGGACGACGUCUUGCACUGCAGAUAAAGAUUCGUGAGAGUCAAUUGUUCCCUCUGUUGGAUGCUGAUGAUGAUCGAUCCAUUGGACGUCAGAUAAAAAUAGGAUCGACCUAAGGUUUAAUCACUGCCUCAUGAAUGGAGGUGUCAAGCACACACAGUGCUCCAACAUCUCUGUGUGUAUCCUUCACCCUGCCUGCAUGGUGUCUACUCCUAGACUGAGGGAAUGGAGGUAUCAAGCACACACAGUGCUCCAACAUCUCUGUGUGUAUCCUUCACCCUGCCUGCAUGGUGUCUACUCCUAGACUGAGGGAAUGGAGGUAUCAAGCACACACAGUGCUCCAACAUCGCUGUGUGUGCUAUGGUAUCCUUCACCCUGCCUGCAUGGUGUCUACUCCUAGACUGAGGGAAUGGAGGUGUCAAGCACACACAGGAGUAUUGACGUGACUCCCUCCAGGCCUGGUGAAAUGGACCAAUCGUCUCACUAUUAUUAGUACAACCAGUAGGUUGUACAUAGGAUUGACAGUGCAGUUGUGUGUGCAUGUUUUCAAUUAUUGCACAAAUUUUGACUUGUGUUUAGACUGCUCUAUUUCUGCAGGAAAACAUCACAAACAUUAUAUAGCUUGCAAAAAAUUCACUAUACAAUGUAAUUAUAAUUAUUAUGAUAAAAAUUACUGAAGGAUUGGCCAGGAAAAGCACAAAACGAACAAAAAAUUGAAACAGUACAUGUGAAUGAAGUUGUAACGGAUUGGAGUUAUGCACUCGCCGAAUUUCUUGUUUCUUUGCUUUUUCGCGCUUUUCUUUUCCUGGCAAUCCUAGCAACGUUCACAUUGCAAAUGUUUUUUAGUUUUGAUAAUUAUAUAGCACAUGCAGCAGCAAAGUACAACACAUCAGUCAGCAAGAAACCACCUCACCCCAGCAAGGUGCUCAGUGUGAGACGCACAGUAAAGGAGCCUCCAUCACAACACCAGCGAUAAUUAUUUUCCAUAGUCAUGAUGAGGCACGCUGUUUCUUAUAAUCUUAUAAUCAUGGACACUGAUGGGACAAGUUGAAGACAUUGUCUAGCCUCGUUCCCAGGCCUUACUUUUUCUUGCUGUUGUCACUGUUCAUCCAUAACAUAAGAAAGACAUAGUGAGGCAGCAAAGAAAGAAAUGGGCGUACAGUUAAGAAAAAGUAAGGCCUGGUUUGGGAAAUCGCGUGAUCCACAAGGAUUUUUAUGAACGUGGGCGAUAUGUAGCCCACAAUCGUGACGUAAGGUAUUCUCCCACGCAUUCAGAGUAAGACUGUACUGUACUGCACUAGACAACCACCAAGCUGUGCUGCAAGUCAGAUCAGAGAACCAGCGUGGCCAGCUCUGGUGGCAGUAGCUACCUGCUAUAUGAUAAUGAUGACUAAGCUAUUCUACUAUAGCAUGUAGAAAGACACAAGAAAAGGUAAUAGUGAUAGAAUCUAAACACACAAUCUAGACUAGUAGAUCAUCUAGCUAAGCCUAAGGUAUAGCUAGCUAUAGUGCUUGCAAACUUCCAGUUCAAGUCCAUGUCCAGCUUGCUGCAGGCAAAGUUUUAUUAGUCGUAGACCUCUGCGUGGGCAGUCCAAUAUCUCUAGCUCAGUAUGCCCACGCUCAUUUUCACCCUUCUACCACCCUUCUACCCUCACGCGACUUCCCGAUACAGGCUCUCCUUUUCCUAACUCUACGUCUAUUUCUUUCUUUAUUCCUCCAAUUAAUACCGUAUUUUAUCUCAUUGAACGAAUAAUACAGUAUUUUAUCUUAUUGAACGAUUGUGAUAAAGAACAGAAAAAGGAGAGCCUGUGUAGAGGCUAGACAUUGUCAAGAAAGUAAACACAAACAAGCCCGUUACCAAGGAAACAUGACAACAUUGAUCAUCAUUGACAAUUUUUAGCCAUAAAAAUUAAUUGUUGUAUUUUUUUAUUUCUACUGCUAAAAAUUAAUUAUGACCAAG